rnacentral:rRNA from 1 species
AGGGUUUGAUCCUGGCUCAGAACGAACGUUAGCGGUGUGGAUAAGGCAUGCAAGUCGUGCGCGAAAGCCUUCGGGCGAGUAAAGCGGCGAACGGGUGAGUAACACGUAAUCAACCUACCCCUCAGAUCGGGAUAACAACUGGAAACGGUUGGUAAUACCGAAUGGUCCCAAAUGGCGGCAUCGUCAUAUGGGUAAAUGGCGGCUUCGGCUGUUGUUGAGGGAGGGGAUUGCGGACUAUUAGCUUGUUGGUGGGGUAAUGGCCUACCAAGGCGAUGAUGGUUAGCCGGUCUGAGAGGACGACCGGUCACACUGGGACUGAGACACUGCCCAGACUCCUACGGGAGGCUGCAGUCGAGAAUCUUCCGCAAUGGGCGCAAGCCUGACGGAGCGACACCGCGUGCAGGAUGAAGGCCUUCGGGUUGUAAACUGCUGUCACGCUAUAGGAACCGCUAAGUAUUAAUAGUGCUUGGUCUGACUAAAGCGAGAGGAAGUACCGGCUAACUCCGUGCCAGCAGCCGCGGUAAUACGGAGGGUACAAACGUUGUUCGGAAUCACUGGGCAUAAAGCGCGCGUAGGCGGUCUACCCAGUUAGGUGUGAAAGCCCUCGGCUCAACCGAGGAAUUGCAUCUAAUACUAGUAGGCUUGAGGAUGGUAGGGGUGUGUGGAACUUCAGGUGGAGCGGUGAAAUGCGUAGAUAUCUGAAGGAACACCUGUGGCGAAAGCGGCACACUGGAUCAUUUCUGACGCUGAGGCGCGAAAGCUAGGGUAGCGAACGGGAUUAGAUACCCCGGUAGUCCUAGCCGUAAACGAUGGGCACUAGGUAAGGGGAGAACCUGUUUCUCUCUUUGCCGUAGCUAAUGUGUUAAGUGCCCCGCCUGGGGAGUACGCUCGCAAGGGUAAAACUCAAAGGAAUUGACGGGGGCUCACACAAGCGGUGGAGCAUGUGGUUUAAUUCGAAGCAACGCGAAGAACCUUACCUAGCCUUGACAUAUAUGAAUUAGCUCUGUGAAAGCAGAGUGACAGCUCUUCGGAGUCGGAACAUAUACAGGUGUUGCAUGGCUGUCGUCAGCUCGUGUCGUGAGAUGUUGGGUUAAGUCCCGUAACGAGCGCAACCCUUAUCGUUAGUUGCCAGCGGGUAAUGCCGGGGACUCUAGCGAGACUGCCGUUGUCAAAACGGAGGAAGGUGGGGACGACGUCAAGUCAUCAUGGCCCUUAUGGCUAGGGCUACACACGUGCUACAAUGGUCGGUACAGAGGGUUCCCAAGCAGCAAUGCCGAGGUAAUCUCUUAAAGCCGGCCCCAGUUCGGAUUGCAGGCUGCAAUUCGCCUGCAUGAAGUUGGAAUCGCUAGUAAUCGCGUAUCAGCUACGACGCGGUGAAUAUGUUCCUGAGCCUUGUACACACCGCCCGUCAAGCCACGAAAGCGGGGAGUGCUCGAAGCCGUUUUGUUCAACCUUCGGGAGAACGACGUCGAAAGCAAGCUCCGUGAUUGGGACUAAGUCGUAACAAGGUAGCCGUAGGGGAACCUGCGGCUG